rnacentral:tRNA from 1 species
UGGCCCAUAGCUCAAUAGGUAGAGCAGCUGGCUGUUAACCAGCAUGUCGUAGGUUCGAUUCCUACUGGGUCAG